rnacentral:rRNA from 1 species
UGCUGCUUCGCUGACGAGUGGCGCAUGGGUGAGUAAUGUCUGGGGAUCUGCCCGAUGGAGGGGGAUAACCACUGGAAACGGUGGCUAAUACCGCAUAACGUCGCAAGACCAAAGUGGGGGACCUUCGGGCCUCACACCAUCGGAUGAACCCAGAUGGGAUUAGCUAGUAGGUGGGGUAACGGCUCACCUAGGCGACGAUCCCUAGCUGGUCUGAGAGGAUGACCAGCCACACUGGAACUGAGACACGGUCCAGACUCCUACGGGAGGCAGCAGUGGGGAAUAUUGCACAAUGGGCGCAAGCCUGAUGCAGCCAUGCCGCGUGUAUGAAGAAGGCCUUCGGGUUGUAAAGUACUUUCAGCGGGGAGGAAGGGAUGGUGCUUAAUACGCGCCGUCAUUGACGUUACCCGCAGAAGAAGCACCGGCUAACUCCGUGCCAGCAGCCGCGGUAAUACGGAGGGUGCAAGCGUUAAUCGGAAUUACUGGGCGUAAAGCGCACGCAGGCGGUCUGUUAAGUCAGAUGUGAAAUCCCCGGGCUUAACCUGGGAACUGCAUUUGAAACUGGCAGGCUUGAGUCUCGUAGAGGGGGGUAGAAUUCCAGGUGUAGCGGUGAAAUGCGUAGAGAUCUGGAGGAAUACCGGUGGCGAAGGCGGCCCCCUGGACGAAGACUGACGCUCAGGUGCGAAAGCGUGGGGAGCAAACA